rnacentral:lncRNA from 1 species
ACAGUGUUUCCUGUGUACUCCUGUGUUCUAGGCCCUGCACUGUGUGCUGCUGGAGAGGUGCCCAACUGAAUUCAAGUCAGGCCUCAUCCUCAAGUGACUUCCAUUCUUGAGAGAGUUUCCAUUUUAUGUUGCAGAGUGACCCCCAUUUCUUUACUCCUGGAAGACAAGCCAUUGUUUUGGAAGGAAGGCUCCAGAAUGUCCAUGAGUGGCUUUGGCUUCUGUAUCAAGGCGCAGUGGCUCAUGUCUGAAAUCCCAGCACUUUGGGAGGCUAAGGCAGGAGGAUUAUUUGAGCCUAGGAGUUUAAGAGCAGCCUGGGCAAAACAGCGAGACCCCAUCUCUACACCAAUUUGUUUUAAAAAACUAGCUGGGCAUGGUGAUGCACGCCUGUAGUCCUAGUUACUUGGGAGGCUGAGGCAGGAGGAUCACUUGAGCCCUGGAGGUCGAGGCUGCAGUGAGCCACAAUCGCGGCACAGCAUUCUAGCCUGGGAAACAGAGUGAGACCAUGUCUCAAAGCAAGCAAGCAAACAAACAAACAAAACAAAAAAGUUUGAAGGUCAUAGAAAAGCAAAGAAAGACCAAGAAAUGGUCACAGGUUGAGGAACAAGGAGACAUGACAACGAAAUGCUAUGUGAGAGCCUAGAAGAAAAAAGAAGACCUCUGUGGAAAACCUGGAGAAAUCUGGAAAAAAAAAAAAGUCUGGCAUUUAAUCAAUAAUAAUGCACUGAAGUGAAUUCUUAAUUUUAAUAAAUAUACCAUGGCUAUGCAAGAUGUUAACAUUAGGGAAAGUUGUAUGAGGGGUAUAAAACUCUCUCUUUUUUUUUUUUUACAGUUUCUCUGUAAACUUAUUUCAAAAUCAAUUGUUUAAAAGACAACAAAUGGCAUGCUGAGAUUUGGCUGCUGUGAGCAUCUUUGUGGCUGCAGAACAGAACCUAAACAGAUAUCCAUUGAGCUCUUGACUAGGUGCUUGGCCAUGUACUAAGCUCUAGAGAAUCCUCAGGAACCUACAAUUUGGUGAGGGAGAUAGGUAUGGCCCACAGGAAUAAGCGGGCAAGGCACAUUAAGAGCUCUGUUCUGAAGGAAGGGAAGAUGGCUCUUAUGAGCAUGUAACAGAGAAAACAGAUUGAGUCUCUGGGGCCAGAUGCCUUCCUCAUAGAGUGUGAAGCUGUUAACCAGAUGAGGAGCAUGGGAGAAGGGUGGGAGGCAUGACAGGAGAUGGUGGAGAAUGAAAGAAGAAAAGGCUCUUGGGCAGGACAACUGCUUGCCUAAGGGAUGCUUUUGUGCAAAGUAGAAAAGGUGCCUGUCUCAACUCAGUCUCAGCCCCCUGUACUUCAGUGAGCUGAUGCUGCCUUUGUGAGAAGAAGAAGAUACGCUUUUCUUGGUGCCCAGUCAUAUUCUUCCUGGCAGACACAGCACAGAGUUUAAUGGAUUUCAUUUCCUUGGUAGUGUGUCUUUGUGCAGUGCACAAACUAAGCAACAGUAGGUGGCAUUUCUGCUGAGCUCAGAUUAUGGAAGCCUUUAAUGAACUACUCAAGUGUAUAUAUUUUAUUUCGAGGGUAAUAUAGAGCCAUUAAAGGAGAGGGUAGGCCAUCAAGAGAGACACAGGAUCAUACCACAGUGCUACUAAACGUGUGGUUUGCAGAUAAACAGCAUCAGCACCACCUGGGAGCUUGUUAGAGCUGCAGAUUCAUGAGUCUAUCCCAGACCUCCUGAUCAGAAUGUCCGGGGCUGAGGCCCAGCACUCUGUUGUUUCAUAAGCUCUCCAGGUGAUUCUCAUGCACACUGAGUUUGGAGAAACACUUUCUCAGGCAAGGGGAUGGAGGAUUGAAAUGACCAGAGGAACAACACCGGGGUCCCUUUGGAGGGUCUGGCUCUCAUGCAGAUGACAAAUACAAAGAAGGCCUUGUUUCAACCAGAAGCAGAGGAGAUGGAGAGGUGACAACAGUGACUCUGAGAGAUUCUGAGUCCUGGCUGGAGAAGAAUGAGGUCCCUAGAAAUGUAAGAAUGAGACGGAGCCAACACAUGGCCCCAGACCUGAGCCUCCUAAGGCUGAAAACCACUGGGGAAGACCUGCAAGUAUCCUUACUGGCCUCGUGCUUCCAAUGCUGUUAACAUUCAUGAAGGCAAAGAGUGUGGGUCUCAGCCAGCGGGAGGGAAGACCACUGGCUGACAGUCUUGCAGAGCCAGGGCUGAAACUCUGACCCAUCACUUACCAAGCUUUAAGCGACUGAAGCUCUAUUUUGUACCCUCACCAGCCGAAGGGCCCUGGAGACAACAGAACAGAGCAGCAACGCCUCUGAACAGCAUCUGCCAGGCUUCCCUGCUUUCCAAAGCCAAGCUUCAGGGUCAGAGGCUCAGCCUGCAGGCUUGGUUGGCUGUGCCGGGGCCUGCCCGGGCUGCACACCUUCCCCAGCACUGCCAGCACAGGGACCCAUGCCCGUGGUUCCUGGCCGUAUCAGCCCUGCUGCGGCCCUGCAGGGGCUUCCUCUAGCCUGGUGCGGACUUUCUUGGUUACCAUGGAUCAAAGGGCUGUUGUAGGAGUGGGGAAGUUAACUCGUUUGCCCAACAUGGCUUUUGCUGAUUUCCAAUCAAUGCCCUGCUCUCUGACUUCAGCUGUUUUCCUAUUGGCUGUGGGAUCAAACAUAGGGAGAAAACAAACUCGAAAUCCAGCUGGCCCAGGGUCCUUAGUAUUCACCAUCCAUCAACCAAAAUGGAGGGUUAGUUAGUGGGUGAUAAUAACAGGAACAAACAUUAUGUGCCUACCAUGCAUAUGGCUCUCUUCCCUGUGUCACCAUCCUGCUCCUUAGCUACCAGACACACUUUAGGUGAGUGUAUUCCUGUCAACAGGUGCUCCCUCCACCAACACCUCUGGCCCCUCCAAUCCUUAGCACCGGGCUGCUUCCCAGACUCAUUGCCUUCCCUCCCCUGCCUCACAUGAGAGGGAUAUUCUGAGAUUCACUCUUCCCAGCUGCCCUAAAUUUCAAAGAAUGCAGUCAGAGUCCCAUAGCAGGGCCACCAUCAACUCAGACGGCUCUAAGCUCUUUCUUCCUGAACUACCAUAAUGCAGCCUAAUAAUAUGAAGCCUCAACCUCCUUUCAGCUUUUAGUCUCAUGCUGGGGUGUCCUGGGUGCUAUGAUUUUGUUAUUUUCACAGAAACCUUCUUGUUUAAUGAGUCUGUCUAGCAAUAUUCCCAAUGGCUUUUAGUCUGUAUUGCAAUACUUCUUGGGUUUCUGAACAUGAGCUGCUUGCCUUCCAACUUCACACUCAGCUGAUUUCUGUUCUGCUAAGUUUAACCUGGUUAAGUUGCUAAGUUGCAUGACCAAUUCCUCUCCAGUUGGCUUUGGGCAUGGAGAUGCAAGAAGUUAAAUAAUCCCAUGAUCCUGCUCAUUGGAACCCUGCAGCCAUACUAACAGCCUUUCUGGCAGACACCGCCUGGAACAAAUCCUUCAUUAAGGGCAAAGCCUAGAUUCUAUUUAUUGAUUGUAAUAAUUGCCAAGCACCCAGCUUGGCAUAGAGAAGGAGUCAAUAAGGUUUACCAAAUACAUGAGGAUUAAGAAUGAAAAUGUAACAAAUCCUCAAUGUGGUACAACUGGGAUUUAAAAUGAGGUCAUUCUGAUCCUGAAGUCCAGUAUUCUCCGCCCCACCCUGCCACCUUGGCCUUGGCUCCUCUGUGCACAUCCUGUGUGAACAGUUUCUAGGGAGAGGGGCUGAUUGAGGGGAGGCUGCAACUGUCAGAACACGAGGCUUUGUAGAGGGUCUGUCUGAGCCCACCCCACUCAGGAGGGACUUGCCAAGCAAGCCCAGAAGCUGGGUCCAUGCCUGUCCGGCACAGAGUUGGUGCUCAGUAACUAUGUAUUUAAUAAUUAAGGAGGCCCAAGGUGGUGAAGGUCUUGUAUCUGGGCCUGAAUUUCUAAACCUGUGUAAGUAGAAAGUCCUUUUGGUGCUUUUUAGAAAAUAGCCCAUAUCCUUUGACACUGCUUUCAUUAAAAGGUGGUGUUUAUAUCCCCUGACUCCCCUUAAGUCUUAGGGGACUUGGGACUGCUCUCACCGAUACAAUGUAGGGGAUGUGAUAUUUUGUGACUUCUAAGAUUAGGUCAUGAAGGCAAUGUAGUUUCUGACUUGUCCACAGAGACUCUUAUGUCUACAGUGUCUAAGCUGCUGUAUAAGAAGUCUAACUCCCCUGGGGCCGCCAUGUGUGAGCAAACGCAGGGUGCAUGACAGUCCCUGUGUAGAUGCUCUAGAUUGACAGCCCCAGCUGAGUCCAGUCAUCUGGGCAACAGACAGCUAAGUGAGGAGGCUGCCGUGUGAGUCCAGUUCUCGGCUCUCUGGUCACCCCUGGUCAUUUGAGUCUUCUCAGCUGGGACCCUAGACAUUGUGGAGCUGAAGCAAAUCAUCCCUGCCCUCUUGCAUUCCUGACCCACAGAAUAUGUAAGCAUAAUAAAGUUGUUGUUUUAUUCCACUAAAUUUUGGAGUGAUUUGUUACCAGCAGUAGUAACUAGAACACCAUUUGUUCAUUAGACAAGAGUUUCUUAAAGAGCAUCGGCAAUAUUUUAUUCUCUUUCAUAUCCCCAAAAGGAAACAGUAAAUGCUUAACAA